CCCUCCCUCUCUCUCUCUCGCCCCCCAAUUCCUGGUGGGGGCGUGGCUUGCCCCCCUUCCCGGAGCCCCUCCCCCUCUCCCUCCCCCGCCUCCUGCGCCCAGCAACGCGCAACUCGCGGCGCCUCGACAGUCCCGCUGGCGCUGCGGGGCGGGCAGGAUGGAGUGGGGUGCCGCGUAGCGCUUUCUCUCUCUCUCUCUCUGUUUCUCUCGCUCUCGCGCCAUGCCCUCCCUCGCCAGGGGCGGCCUCGGAGCCUCGUGCUUGUAGCCUUCGCCUUGGCCCUCGCCUGGCCCCAUGGUGGUUGAAGAGCAGCGCGGAGGCGGCGGAGGCGAAGAAAGAGGAGGAGGAAGGCGGAGAGGAAGAGGAAGAGGAGGCAGGCAUGGCUGCCCCGGGGGACAGCUGCAGCGUCAAGGUGGCCGUGAGGAUCCGUCCUCAGAUGCCAAAGGAGAAGAUCGAAGGAUGUCACAUCUGCACAUCAGUGACACCCGGAGAACCUCAGGUACUUCUGGGAAAGGACAAAGCUUUUACCUACGACUUUGUCUUCGAUCUGGAAACUUGGCAAGAGCAGAUCUACACAACCUGUGUGAGCAAGCUUAUCGAGGGCUGUUUCGAGGGGUACAAUGCCACAGUGUUGGCGUAUGGUCAGACAGGUGCAGGUAAGACGUAUACCAUGGGCACUGGCUUUGAUAUGAGCAUCUCUGAAGAAGAAAAUGGUAUAAUCCCACGGGCCAUUACCCACUUGUUCAAUGGGAUAGAUGAGCGCAAAAGAGCAGCACAGGAGCAAGGUGUGCCAGCACCAGAGUUCAAAGUUAGUGCACAGUUCUUGGAGUUGUAUAAUGAGGAGAUCCUGGACCUCUUUGAUAGCACACGUGACCCUGAUUCCCGCCACCGGAAGUCAAACAUCAAAAUCCAUGAAGAUGCCAAUGGUGGGAUCUAUACAACAGGUGUCACAUCACGUCUCAUUGGCUCGCAGGACGAGCUGAUUCAGUGCCUGAAGCAGGGAGCUCUGUCACGAACCACAGCCAGCACCCAGAUGAAUGUCCAGAGCUCCCGCUCCCAUGCUAUCUUCACCAUCUACCUUUGCCAAAUGCGUGUCUGCUCUCCUGUACACUUGGUGAAUGGAGACACAAACAGUCUUCUUGAGGGAUCCCAGCCUACCAGCGAGUACGAGACACGAACAGCCAAAUUUCAUUUUGUUGAUCUGGCUGGCUCAGAAAGGUUGAAGCGGACAGGUGCUACAGGCGAGAGAGCCAAAGAAGGGAUCUCCAUCAAUUGUGGUUUGUUAGCACUGGGAAAUGUCAUCAGUGCUCUUGGAGAUCAGAGCAAGAAAGCCCUGCAUGUGCCCUACCGGGAUUCAAAGUUGACACGGCUUCUCCAAGACUCACUUGGUGGAAACAGCCAAACUGUAAUGAUUGCCUGUGUGAGCCCUUCAGAUCGGGACUUUAUGGAAACUCUGAACACCCUUAAGUAUGCCAAUCGUGCUCGCAACAUUAAGAACAAAGUGGUGGUGAAUCAGGAUAAGACAAGUCAGCAGAUCAGUGCCCUGCGAGCUGAAAUUGCUCGGCUCCAAAUGGAGCUCAUGGAGUACAAGGCGGGUAAGCGUGUCAUUGGAGAGGAUGGUUCAGACGGCUACAGCGACCUGUUUCAUGAGAAUGCCAUGCUUCAGAAAGAGAACACCACUUUGCGUAUGCGGGUAAAAGCCAUGCAAGAAGCUAUUGAUGCUAUCAACAUCCGGGUUACCCACUUGAUGAGUCAGGAAGCAAACUUGAUUCUUGCCAAGGCAGGUGAUGGAAAUGAGGCUAUUGGUGCUCUGAUCCAGAAUUACAUUCGGGAAAUUGAAGAGCUCAGGACAAAACUCCUAGAGAGUGAAGCUAUGAAUGAGUCAUUGCGUCGCAAUCUGUCACGGGUUUCGUCCAGGCUUCCCUAUUCCCUGGGUUUAUCUCCAGGCCCUGGGAUGGGGGCAUCAAAUAGCCCUGUUACCUCUGUGGAAGCAGAAGUUACUGAGGUCCUCCAGUGUGCCAAGGAAGACUUAGAACGGCUCAAAAAGGAAACUAAACAGCGAAGGAAAAGUCCAGACAAAGAAGCGUUUAAAAAGAGGUUGAAGCUGCAGCAGGGAAGUGAGGUCGAUGAGGCAGAUGAAAAUGAGGUGGAAGAGGAAGAAAGAGAUGAAAGUGGUUGUGAGGAAGAGGGCGGUCAAGAGGAAGAAGAAGAAGAAGAUUCAGGAAGUGAAGAAAGUUUAGUGGAUUCUGACUCAGAUGCUGAAGAAAAGGCUGCAAAUUUCCAGGCUGAUCUAGCUGACCUAACCUGUGAGAUUGAGAUCAAACAGAAGCUAAUAGAUGAACUGGAGAACAGCCAAAGGCGCCUGCAGACAUUGAAGCACCAAUAUGAGGAGAAGUUGAUUCUGCUGCAAAACAAGAUCCGUGACACCCAAUUGGAGAGAGAUAGGGUCUUACAGAAUCUCAGUUCAAUGGAGUGUUACACAGAAGAGAAGGCCAACAAGAUCAAAGCAGACUAUGAGAAACGUCUGAGGGAAAUGAACAGGGAUCUGCAGAAGUUGCAGGCAGCCCAGAAGGAACAUGCCCGUCUCCUCAAGAACCAGUCUCGAUAUGAGCGAGAGUUAAAGAAACUGCAUGCAGAGGUUGCAGAAAUGAAAAAGGCCAAGGUGGCACUGAUGAAGCAAAUGCGUGAGGAGCAGCAGAGGCGGAGAUUGGCAGAGAGCAAGAGGAACCGGGAGAUUGCCCAGCUGAAGAAAGAGCAGCGCAGGCAAGAGUUUCAGAUCCGCGCACUAGAAUCUCAGAAGCGCCAACAGGAGAUUGUACUGCGCAGGAAAACACAAGAGGUCUCUGCUCUGCGUCGUCUGACUAAACCUAUGUCUGACCGGGUUGCUGGAAGGAUGAACCAGAAGCAAGCCAUGGUGGACUCAGGUGCUGAGGUGUCCACCAGCACCACCUCCUCAGAUCACGAAUCUGGUUCUCGUUCGGUUUCCAGUAUUGUGCGCCAGUGGAAUCGGAAAAUCAACACCUUUCUGGGAGACCCUCCUUCAUCUGUAAAUGGGUCUCGAACCAUCAGGAAGAAGUUCCCAAAGAAAGGAGCAAACCAGACCUUCAGUAAAACAGCCCGCAUGAAAUGGCAGUCACUGGAACGUCGUGUCUUUGACAUUGUCAUGCAGAGGAUGACAGUCAUUAAUCUGGAAUCUGAUAUGGAGAGACUCAUCAAGAAACGUGAAGAACUAUCACUGAUGCAGGAGAUGCUCCUUGGGAAGAGAGAGAAAAUGCAAACAGAAAGCCCUGAAGAGCUGAAGGGGCUACAGGAACUGAAUGAGGAGAUUGAAGUAUUGGCAGCCAAUAUUGACUACAUUAAUGACAGCAUUUCAGACUGCCAGGCCACCAUCAUGCAGAUUGAAGAGACCAAGGAAGAACUGGAUUCUACCGACACCUCGGUGGUGAUCAGCUCCUGCUCCCUGGCUGAGGCAAGGCUUUUGCUGGACAAUUUCCUUAAGGCAUCCAUAGACAAAAGCUUACAGGUAGCUCAGAAGGAAGCUCAAAUCCGUCUGCUGGAAGGACGCUUGAAACAAACUGAUGUAACUGGCUCCUCUCAAAACCAUCAUAUCCUGGAUGCCCUGCGGGAAAAGGCAGAAUCACACCCGGAGCUGCAAGCACUUAUCCACAAUGUACAGCAAGAAAAUGGAUAUGCCAGCACAGAUGAGGAGCUCUCUGAAUUCAGUUUGGCCUCAGAGGGGAGCUUUUCCCAGUCUUUCUCCAUGAAGGGCUCUGCCAGUCAGGAUGACUUCAAAUGCAGGGGAGAGCCCAAACUUUCUGGGCAGAUGAAGGCUGUAUCUGCAGAGUGCCUGGGCCCUACAUUGGACAUCUCCACCAAAAACAUCACCAAGUCAUUAGCAUCACUCAUGGAAAUCAAAGAGGAUGGCAUUGGGUUUUCUAUUCGUGAUCCUUACUACAAAGAGAGAGUCUCCCGUACCAUCAGCCUCCCCAUCCGGGGGAGCACAUUCCCCCGACAGUCUCGUGGUGCAGACACAUCACCCCUCACAAGAAGGAAGUCAUAUGACCGGGGUCAGCCCAUCAGAAACCCAGAUGUAGGAUACACUCCUCCCUCAUCCCCUCCUAGUAGGCCGCGCAAUGACCGCAACGUCUUCUCUCGCCUCACCAGCAACCAGAGCCUGGGUUCAGCUCUAGACAAGUCUGAUGACAGUGACUCCUCUAUCUCGGAGGUGCUGAGGGGCAUCAUUAACCCAGUGGGAGGCUCCAGGAGUGCACGGACAGCCCCACUGCAAUGCAUCUCUGUGGCAGAGGGACACACCAAGCCUGUUCUGUGCCUGGAUGCUACUGAUGAAUUGUUGUUUUCUGGAUCCAAAGAUCGAAGCUGCAAAAUGUGGAACUUGGUGACUGGCCAGGAAAUUGUCUCUUUAAAAAGCCAUCCAAACAAUGUUGUCUCCAUAAAAUACUGCAGCCAUUCUGGCCUGGUAUUCACAGUCUCUACCUCUUACAUCAAAGUGUGGGACAUUCGGGAUUCUGCAAAGUGUAUCCGCACUCUCACUUCAUCAGGCCAAGUGAUUUCUGGCGAUGCCUGUGCUGGAACUGCUACCCGCACCAUCACCAGUGUGCAAGGCGAGCACCAGAUCAACCAGAUUGCACUUAACCCCACAGGCACCACUCUUUAUGCAGCCAGUGGCAAUUCUGUCCGCAUCUGGGAGCUGAACAGAUUUCAACCCAUCGGGAAGCUGUCAGGCCAUAUUGGCCCUGUGAUGUGUCUCACAGUUAACAAGACUCCAAGCAACCAUGAUUUGGUCAUCACAGGAUCUAAAGAUCACUACGUCAAGAUGUUCGAGAUUGCAGAAGGAGUUGGUGGGAACUUUGGCCCUGCUCACAAUUUUGAGCCUCCACAUUAUGAUGGCAUUGAGUGCCUAGCUAUUCAUGGAGACAUUCUCUUUAGUGGCUCCAGAGACAAUGGGAUCAAGAAGUGGGACCUAGAACAGCAAGAGCUCAUCCAGCAAAUCCCUAAUGCACACAAAGACUGGGUUUGUGCUUUGGCCUUUGUGCCUAGCCGGCCCAUGCUGCUGAGCGCCUGCCGUGGUGGCAUAGUGAAGGUCUGGAAUGUUGAUAACUUCACACCCGUUGGGGACAUCAAGGGACAUGACAGUCCCAUCAAUGCCAUCUGCACCAAUUCCAAGCACAUAUUCACUGCUUCCAGUGACUGCCGGGUAAAGUUAUGGAAUUACGUGCCUGGGCUCACCCCCUGCCUUCCACGACGUGUCCUUGCCAUCAAGGGCCGUGCUACCAGUCUGCCUUGACCUUCCUCCUGUCUUCUCUUCUGCUUACCUUUUCUUACUCUGUUCUCUCUCCCCCAUUUCUUUCUCUACCCUACCCCUCUCUCUGCGAGCUGAUCUCAGCUACUUCCUAACGUGAUUUGACAGUGAAGCUCUGGAGUGCAAGGAAGCUACUGAAGAACCACACCUAGAAUCUGGGGGAAAAGUAGACGUGAUGGACCACAGUAGGGAUUGCAAGAAGGCAAAUGUGGUGUCCUUGCUGAACUUAGCUUUCUGGGGCUAAGAUGUAGUAUUUAGCUUUCCAUUGGAAUCUUCCAUGCUCAAAGCUUCAUGAACAGAUGGCAGCCUGGUUUUUAGGUAUUAUAUAUACCAGCAAGUGUUUUGGUUGAAUGAUGUAAGGGAAUCACUUUUCCUUUACCAUUUUCAUGUGUGAUAAGAUUUUGCAAUAUUAACAGAAGGAUAAAAUGAAACUGUAAAUUGCCAGCAAGGGAAGUAGGUGAAGCUGGGGCCUUUGAAUGUGUUUCUCAAGUCAUUGGAAUUCCUUUGCCAUAUAUAUAGUUCCCUGUCAAGAUGGGUGACGAGCUCUGCGAAUAGAUGAUUUUUUUCAGUUUGUAGGCCAGAGUUUUGCUAAAAGAUAAAAGUGAGAGAUCCCCCGCUCCCUCCCUAAUACCUUAGGGAGCUAUGUCUGCAAUCUCCUAUAUGACCAUGGAGCUGCCUGUUUCCAGCUUAGGCCUUUAUGGUUUAACAGUGACACUGACAAAAUGAAAUCUACACAUGCCAAAUGCUUGCACAGCUGAUUGGCAGAUUUUAGAGAAUAUUUCUUGUUCUAGUUUGCUUGUUCAUCCAUUAUUAUUUUUAAAUGGGGGAAGGAUGGGAAGAAGUAAUGUGAAAAAGAGUUACAUUGAUUUGAGUGCAUGUGUGCUUUCUCUCAGUUUUCCUUUCAAAAGUAUAAUGGCUCAAAAUGUUUUCAUUUUGAGAUACCUAAGUGGUUGUCAUGCUGCCUUUCUCAUGUUAAAAUUGCGCAAUUCCAUUGUUUCAAUGAGAACUAUAACAUUAGUGCAUUAUUUUUAAUGGAAUUGGGAUUUCUUUAAAUUGGAAGGUUAAUUUUGGGAUUUCAGUCUCAAACCAGAAAUUAUAAGAUAUUUUGCCCAUUGUUUUGGAUAUGCAAAAAAGAGGGUCAGUCUUCUGGAAUAUGCAUUGGAUUUUCACUGUAAACAUUUUUCUCAAGUGGCCUGGCAAAUCCAAAAUAAUUUUAGACUGCAGAUCUGUUUACUUUGUUUUCUCUCAAUCGCAAAAUACAGAAAAAAAGACUCUUUACACUGAGAGAAAAUACCUUUUUGUCUGGGAGCAGAAAGAUAUGUGUGUCAUGAUGGUGGUGAGUUUCCCCCUCAGCCUUCAAACAGGGUAAGGCACUAGAACUUUUUGACAGUGACAAUGACAAGAGUGACAACACUUUCCCUUGAAGAAAAUGAGCUUGGUUCCUUAAUCUCAUUAAUCCACCUUUUUUGUUUACACCUGUUUGAACUAUAGAGAUACUAUUUCUUCAUAUUUACAGUAUAUUCUUGUCGCCACCACAAGGAAAAUACGCAGGAGAGGUUUGAUUCUCUAUGCUUCACUCAGCUUGAAUUUCACUGGACAUUUUUCAACCUACUUGAGUUUACCAAUGGACACUUGAUGUAAGAAAGAAGCAGCCGCUUUCACCUGUUUCAAACAUUCCAGAGCUGCCCGGAUCUCAUUGGAGUGUUUAUUGGGUUCUCCUUUCCCUCACUUGGAUGGUAAUGUGUUUCAUACUUGAAGUCUCAUCACAGCUCAUGGCCAGCAGACUUGGGGAAAGCAGCAUGCUGGUAGUCAAAUGUGGACAAUCAGACUGAAGGGACCUUGCCUCCCAGAUGCUUCAGGCUCUUUGACAGCAUUUCCCCUGCCCUGGUUUGAAAGAAGCAUCUGUUCUAAUAAACUGGGCUGGCUAUGAACUUUGUCCACCUACAGGCAUUGUGAAGACCUCACUUCUAUGUGGUGAAGCUGUGGUUUCUUCCAUUGGAGUAGGAAAUUGUACUGUAAUUUUAUAUGAGUAUUCAAGAGGUUCUGCAUAUUGUCUUGUGCUUUAUUUGGGGGAGGGGGGGUAGCAGGAAGGAGGGGGUUGUGUGAGAGUGAAUGCUUUUAAGAAGGUGAGGACUUGUUUUGAGUUAACCUACCUCAUGGUCUAAGGUAUUUGGAGUUUUGUUUGUUUGUGUUUAAUGUCAAUGAAACUUGAAUUGGUCUGGGGAACGCACAUUUUCACUGGCCCUGGUUUCUGAGUUGAAGAGCUCAAACAGCAAAAUGAAGGCAUGUUGAGAACAGCUGGGCUCUCUGCUUUGUCUUCACAGCUGGCAAGCAAUGUUCAAGCCUUGCUGUAUUUUUGCCAGCUGAACCAUUUGAAUAAGCUGUUCAUAAAUGUUAAGCCUGAUAUUUAUUGAAUCAUGUUGUCUUUUUAGUCUUUUGAAUUGUCAUUCUGGACAGAGUUAGGAAAUGAUUCAGUUGUUUAAAUCAUGGAAGAGAUACCAUCUUCCAUUGGCAACAAAAUUGGCACAAUCCCCAUUCCCCUCACAUAGCUACCUAGGCUAACUUGGCUAGUAUUUAGGGAAGCUUGUAGUCACCUGUGAAUGUUUUUUUUUUUGCCUACAAAAAAUUAGGAAUAGAUUGUGAAUUAGCUACACACAUUUCACCUGAAGCCUUCCUAUAUUUUCGUAGGAAGUUUGUGUAGAACAAAGAAUAUAAAAUGUCCUAUAAAAUAAUACUUGAUAUAACUGAAUCAGAGGGCACUCUUCUCAUCUGUUAAAUUAUUGACCAUAUUGCCAUAUAGUCCCAAGUGCCUUAAUGCUAUUCUUAGCAAUUAGGGUAUGGGAUUAUAUUUCCUCAUACUGAAGAAACCCCAGCCACAUUUACUCUUAUUCUCAUACUUAUUCUCAUUUUCUCUCUCUCUCUCUCUCUCCCUCCCUCCCUCCUCCUGUUCCCAUGGAUGUGGCAGAAAGUGCAAAUCUCUAGAAACUGAAAUCAGGUGCAAUCUGGUGGAAGCAUUUUAUUGGAAUUUGUUAAGGAGAGUUUGCCCUCCUGGGGAUAGUACUUGAAGCACAUAGUGGAAAGGAUUAAAAAUAACAAAAGCCGAAAAUCUCAUCUGUUUCUAGUGGCCUAUUGAUGUUCAUCAAUGGGACACUGUAAUAAGACUCAAAGGUGGCUUUACAUAAUCUUCUUAGUUUGUCCAGCAGCACUGGGAGAUUUAAGCCAUACUAACAUGGUGUCCCAAUGGCACAACUUUUCAAUUAAGAGAGGCCUCCUGGUGAUAGAGUAAAGUACAAUUUCCCUGCAUCCCAAGAAGAGGCACUGCAGGGAAGGUCCUUAUGCACAUAAAUAACCUAAGACAUGGCUGUUUGCUCCACCAGUUGGUCUCUGUCUACACAAGACUUUGCUUCAAAAAGCAUGUGCCUUUUCUUGUCCUGAAAGGGUUGUGUUUUGGGGUUUUAGUGUGUUUUUAACAAAAAGCUGGUGCUUGUUUGGGGAUUCUGUGAGGAGCUGUAUCAUCUGGCAUAAUGGUCUUUUGUAUGUGUGCGCGCGCAUAUGUAUGAAAGGAUAAUAAGGUGUGUAAUAUUUUAUACCUCUGUGUAAAUAGUGUAAGUUAUUUAAGGUUCUGGAUGUACAUGGUUUUCCAAUGAACGUGUUUGUUUCUCCUAUUAAUAAAUAAAUUUAAGAAAAUCA